rnacentral:lncRNA from 1 species
ACUUUAAAUGGGAGGAUUUUUAAAUUUAUUUUUUAAAACUGUAUUUUAUUUCCUUGCAGAUCUUUUCUCUAGAAUUUGAGGGAAAAUGUCAGGAAUCACGUUGGUAGACGGACAGGGAAGAAUUUAGCCAUAGUAGAUUAUUUGUUUUUAUAAUGAACCAAAUAUGUGCAUUGCUGUGUUGUCUUUUAUUUUCUUUCUUUUUUUCUCCCCCUUUUGGGCUGUGCUUUCCGUGAGAUGUCUUGCUGAAAUCCAAGGUACAAUAUCGUGCAAAGAUUUCUCCAUCUGAGAUUUUCUGUUUAGCGUGGAAGGUUCCGAUUUUGGUAUUUUUAAGAACUGCUCAGCUGUCAAAAGCAAACAAAACGGGAAUAAUGUUUUGACAGCGGUAUAGUGUUAAAGAAAAUACUCGAGUCUGAAUAAAAAUUGCUUAUGCUGUGGGAAACGAAGGGUAACAGAAGAAACACCUUUUGUUUACAUACACACAUGUUUAUAAUCCCAAAUUUCCAUUUCGCCGAGCGGGUCUGCGUUGGGAGUUGUAGUCACCAUAAAUGAGGGAUUUUUCUUCCAGAUUUUGCUGCCUUUAAGGCGAAGAGAGGAGGGGAGCGCACCUCCGGCAGCGCUGCCGCCCGAGCCCUGCCCGUCGCGGCGAGCGGGCACCGCAGGGCCGAAGAGGAGAUGCCGGGGGGAGCCGGCGCUCCCCACCUUUCACUCAUAGCCGCAGAGAGAGCGAGGGAGAGAAAAUUGCCCCAGACCAGGCAGCAAAAUGCUAGGUUUAGAAGACUGCGAGCCAGUUUCCUGAAUACUACUAUAAUUAAUUUGCGUGCGGAGAUCAAAGAUCCGAGGGCGAAGGAAAUAAUCGAUUCUGCCAGAAAACGCUUCCCCGGCGCAGCCCGCGGACAGCCGCCACCCACGGCAGGGCACUCAAAGACUUCGGGACUCGGCCGGCGAGGCUGCUCCGGGCACGCUGGGCGCGGUGGCCGAGCGGCACCGGCGGGCUCGGGGGAGCCUCUCGCAUCGCCGCUGCCCAAACUUGGACUGAUGUGAGCGUGAAUAAACACGAGAAACGCCGCGAAGUUCA